AGUAGACAUUAUUCAUAACACACCUCUAGCUCAGAACAGAGGUUUUGAACAUAAAACAGACUUUUUCAAACACAGCUGCUACAUUAUUGCUCGCUUUCAUAUAGCUGUGCUAGUUGAAAUUAUAGAUGUAUGUGUUCAAUUGCCGCAGUUGCAAUUCUUACAGCUGCAGGGGUUGCAGCUGCACUUGUCAUUGUGCUCGGCCACUGGAGCGUCCAUAACUAUGGUGUCAAAUGAGCUCUUCUCAUUCUCCAUGAUGACAGCUCCGUAGCUGCUUCCUUUUUUCACGCACUGGCUCUUGUCGGAGCAGUCACAGUUGCCACAGCUUGACAUUGUUAAGAAGCUAGAAAAGUUGCUGGAGAAGGGAAAACAGAUAG
rnacentral:misc_RNA from 1 species